rnacentral:antisense_RNA from 1 species
AGCGGGGGUGGGAGCUGCGGACGGCCAUGUGCGCGGCGGAGAGGCCGGGUGGCCGCCGAACCUUCCCGCCUGUUCUGCGGGGCGUCUGGGCAUGGCUUUCCCAACCUAGUAACUGCAACUUCUAGCAUCCUACAUGUAGGACUUGGGAAUAUGUGAGACAGCGCCAAGAAUUUAAUCCAGGAGAAUUGACAAGCUUAAAUGAAAUCCAUAUUGCCCACUGAUUUUGUGCAGCUUCAGAUAAGUAAUCUUUCUCCACUUAGCCUUUUGUAACAAUUGAUGUAAUAAAGGUUUGUAGUCUUUGCGUAAUUUAUUAAAGCAUUGUGCCUAAAAUAGAAAAAAAGCGUAGGAACCAUAGGCUACGUUUUCUUUUGAUUUAAUAUUUUCAUUUCUUCAGUUAAUAGAAAUUUGUCAAAAUUCUGAUGUUUUUCUGUAACAUUAUUUGAAUGAGCAUUGUUUAUUUGAGUGAACAUUCAGCUAAUUGUUACAGAAUCUUGCCCCCAUUAAUCUUAGGCUGUAGAAUGUAGACAAGUAAAUAGGCAUCAUCAGUAUGAUGAGAGUGAAGCUACUUAAUACUGUGGAAUCAAAUAAAGGAGGAACCCCUUACUAAACCAAGAGGGAGGAAUAAAAUGGAAUGGGACUAGAGAAGCAAUUAGCUUUAAUAAGGGUAUUAUAGAAGACUUUCUAGAUAAGAAGCAGUAAGUACAGAUGUUUGGAGGCAAACACUAGAGAGAUUGUUGGGUAAAGAAGACAAUGCUGGAGGUCUACUUGUGAAGGCCUUGAAUGCUAUGUGCAGAAGUCAGCUUCUGAGAACCAGGAGGAAGAUAUUGAAAGAUUUUAAGUAGAAGAAUCAUAGGAUUGAAUUCUUUUUAGACAGAUCACUGUUACACAAAAAUUUGAGGCAAACAGAAGAGUUUGGAGUAAACAGUAGGCUGUGAGCCAGUAAUGACUUGGACUGAGUUGGUGGCAGGUAGGUGUGAAGAAAAUAAAGUGGUUAUUGGGAGAUUUGGUUAACUGAAAAUGACUGAGGGGGAUAGAUGUCAGAGGUGACUCCCAAGUGAGUUGGUGGAGCAGCUAGGAGGAUAGUAAUGUCUUCACUGAGAUUAGAAACAAAAUAAGAGAAUAUAUGUUAGGGAAGAAAGAAGUCUCUAUUUUGACCAUGUAAAAUUUGAAGUGCCUGUGAGCCAACCAGGCAGGUAUGUGUAGUCAGCAAUUAGAUAUUCAUUCAACACCGUUGGAAGAGCACCUACUCUGUGCCUGGUACUGUUCUACACACUGAAAUAGGUAAAGCAGCAGCAAAACAAAUGGUUCCUACUCCUGUUUUUAGAGGGAAACAGCGUAUAAACAAGUUUUAAAAAUAAGAGGAGAGAGAAUAUCCCAUAAAUUCGUGAAGAAGGCCGGGUGCAGUGGCUCAUGCCAGUAAUCCCAGCAGUUUGGGAGGCCGAGGUGGGUGGAUCUCCUAAAUUCAGGGGUUAGAGAGCAGCCUGGCCAACAUGGCAAAACCCCGUCUCUACUAAAAAUACAAAAAUUAGCCGGGCACGGUGGCACGCUCCUGUAAUUUCAGCUACUCCGGAGGCUGAGGCAGGAGAAUAGCUUGAACCCAGGACACGGAGGCUGCAGUGAGCCGAGAUCGCACCACUGCACUCCAGCCCUGGGCGACUGGGCGACGGAACGAGACUCCGUCUCAGAAAAAAGAGUUUGUGAAGAAAAGUAAAGGCUGAUUGGAUAAAGUGUUACUCUGGGGAAAAGAGAGCAAACUUUUGGUGGUUGGUUGAUCAGAGAUGGCCUCACUGAGAGGGUAUUAGAAAGGACAAGAACAGUGUGAGACCAAAGGGAAUAGCUGGGCAAAGGCCCUAAGGUGAAAUGUUUGUUGUGUUUAGGAAACAGCAAGGUCAGUGUAUCCGAAAUCUAGUGACCAAAAGAAGGAAUGAUAGGAGGUGAAGUCUUCAGCCUCAAUAAGAAGGUGAAGUGCACUGGAAGCCAUUGAAGGAUUUAAGAAAUGAAGUAUCUGGCCGGGCGCGGUGGCUCACGCCUGUAAUCCCAGCACUUUGGGAGGCCGAGGUAGGAGGAUCAAGAGGUCAGGAGAUGGAGACCAUCCUGGCUAACACGGUGAAACCCCGUCUCUAUUCAAAAUAAAAAAUUUAAAAAAAAAAUUAGCCGGGCGUGGUGGCAGGCACCUGUAGUCCCAGCUACUCGGGAGGCUGAGGCAGGAUAAUGGCGUGAACCCGGGAGGCAGGGCUUACAGUGAGCCGAGAUCGCACCACUGCACUCCAGCCUGGGCGACAGAGCGAGACUCCGUCUCAAAAAAAAAAAGGAAAUGGAGUAUCGUGGACUAGGAUAGUAGCAGUAGAGAUGAGGAAAGUGGUUGGAUCCAAAAAGCUGACCUAUCUUGCUUACCAAUUAAAUGAGGAAAGGGAGGAAUCAAUAGUGAUGCCUAGGUUUGGGGCAUGUUGUCUAGGUGGAAUUAAUUUUGAUUACGCCUUUUAUUUAACCUAAUAUCCAAAUAUUAUUUCACAUGUGAUCAACAUAGAAAAUUACUAAAUAUUAAAAAUAUUUUACAUUAUCUUUCUCAUAGCUAAGCAUUUGAAAUCUGGUGUGUAUUUUAUACUUAUAGCAUAUCUCAGUACUUGAUUUCGUAAAAUUUCCAGCUGAAAAAAUAGAUUCACAUACCCAAGUCGUUCCAAGCAUACUUACAAGUUUUACGGUAAUCGAAUCGUGUAUAUUUUUAAAUUUUAUUUUAAAUUAAAGUUAGGAUUAUGAAUUCAGUUCCUAAAUUAACCUCAUUUCACUUCCUGCAUUUCAAGUGGGACAAGUUGUUACCAUAUUGGACAAUGCAGUCUAGUGAAAUAGAGGAUAGUGGAAAGUCAGACUUAAAAAGUUGUUUAGAACCAGCUCUGGAAGGUCUUGGAUGUCAGAUUAAAGGACUGAGAUUUUACCCUUGAGUCAGGCAGAAUAAUGGAUGGUUUUUGAACUAAGGAGUGACACAAUGUUGUGCUUAUGACUAGAAAGAGACCACUAGGUGGCCAGCUGGUGAGUCAGGACACCCUUCAGUUGCUUUGACUUCAGCCCUGUGGAUUCAAAGUCUGAUUUUUGUCAGCGCUCUAAAGCAGUCUCACCAAAAGUGUUCACAAGGCAGUGCCAGUCUGUAAGCCCUUUGUUACACAUCCAUGACAAGGCAUUUACAGAAAGUAAGAAUUUAAAAACUUACAGCAAUUUAACAGACUAAUUUUAUUUCUGUGGGUCUAAUAAAAAUUUGAGGGAUUGUACUUUGCAUGUAUCUUUAUUUCCCUUUUUUUGUUUGUUUUUUGUGUUUGAGAUGGGAGUCUUGCUUUGUCGCCAGGCUGGAGUGCAGUGGUGCAGUCUCGGCUCACUGCAACCUCUGCCUCCUGGGUUCAAGCGAUUUUCCUGCCUCAGCCUCCCGAAUAGCUGGGAUUACAGGUGUGCGCCACCACAUCCAGCUAAUUUUUGUAUUUUCAGUAGAGACAGAGCUUCACCAUGUUGGCCAGGAUGGUCUUGAUCGCCUGACCUUGUGAUCCGCCUGCCUCGGCCUCCCAAAGUGCUGGGAUUACAGACGUAAGCCACCGUGCCCGGCCUUUUUUUCCUUUUUAGUUUUUUUUUUUUCUUUUUUGAGACAGAAUUUCACUCUUAUUGCCCAGGCUGGAGUGCAAUGGUGUGAUCUUGGCUCACCGCAACCUCUGCCUCCCGAGUUGAAGCGAUACUCCUACCUCAGCCUCCCAAGUAGCUGGGAUUACAAGCAUGCACCACCAUACCCUGCUAAUUUUGUAUUUUUAGUAGAGACGGGGGUUUCUCCGUGUUGGUCAGGCUGGUCUCCAACUCCCAACCUCAGGUGAUCUGCCUGCCUUGGCCUCCCAAAGUGCUGGGAUUACAGGUGUGAGCCACUACACCCAGCCGUUUUUUUCUUUUUCUAAUAAUUUUUAUCAUAUUACAUGAAAGUACCUAUGGUCUCACAGAUGAAGGGAGUCAGAAAAACCAAACUCCCAGAAGACAUGUAAAUCUAAAUGCCUUUUUUACUUUAGAGUGAAAACUGUAAUAGCUAAAUUGUAAUGGACAUCUGCUCAUUUUCUCCCUCCAUGUAGACAUGGAAAGCUACAUGGAAAUAACCGAGUUUAUAGUAGCUAUCAUAUAUUAAACGUUUCCUGUAUGCCAGCCACUGUGCAAAGCCUAUUAUAUAUAUUGUCUCAUUUAAUCCUCACAACUCUGUAAAAUAAGUAUUGUUUGCCCCAUUUUUCCAGUGAAGAAACUGAGGCUAAAAUAGGUUGAAUAACUUACCUAAAUUCACCAUCCUCAAAGGUGUUAAAGGCAGGAUUCCAGUAUAGGUCUCUCAUUUCCUUCAUGAUUAGGAAUACUACUUUGAAAUGAGAGACCUGUACUGUAUCUGUUAAUUCCAAAUUCCCUGGCAUAAAGACUCAGUACAUUGUUUAAAGAGAACGCAUGAAGUUAACUGCAUUACCUUUUGGAGGGUUCAUUUGUGAAUUUGGGGCCAAAAUAAGGGGAGUUACUGGUAUUCUAAUAGCAUCAAACAAAUGAAUUCAUUUCUUCUUUUGGGGAGGUGGAGGGAAUAAGGUCUCACCUUGUUGCCCAUGCAGGCUGGAAGGCCGUGAUGUGAUCUCAGCUCACUGCAGCCUCAACCUGGGCUCAAGCGAUCCUCCCACCUCAGCCUCCUGAGUAGCUGGGACUACAGGUGCACACCACCGUGCCCAGCUCAUUUUUGUAUGUUUUGUAGAGACUGUUUUGCCACGUUGCCCAGGCUGUUCUCAAACUCCUGAGCUCAAGUGAUUCUCCCACCUCAGCCUCCGAAAGUGCUGGGAUUAGAGGUGUAAUCCACCACACCCAGCCAAAUGCAUUCAUGUCUACAAUAGAAAUACAUCUCUUUGCUCCUAUCUUGAAUUUGUAGACUCCCACAAAUCAAUAAAAAAGAAGACAUCCAAUAAAAAAAAGGGUAGAGGCCAGGCAGUGGCUCACACCUGUAAUCCAAACACUUUGGGAGGCCCAGGCAGGCAGAUCACCUGAGGUCAGAAGUUUGAGACCAGCCUGGCCAACAUGACAAAACCCUGUCUCUACUAAAAAUAUAAAAAUUAGCUGGACGUAGUGGCACGUACCUGUAAUCCCAACUACUCGGGUGGCUGAGACAGGAGAAUUGCUCGAACCCAGGAGGCAGAAGUUGCAGUGAGCCAAGAUCGUGCCACUGCACUCCAGCCUGGGCGACAGAGCAAGACUCCAUCUUAAAAAAAAAAAAAAGGCAGAAACUUAAACAGUCACCUCACAAAAAAGUGUAUCUAAAUAUUAGUUUCUUAAAAAAUAAAAAAGGGGCAUGUAGAUGGCCGAGAAACAUGUAAAAGAUACUCAACUAAUUUAAUCAUUAGAGAAAUGCAAAUUAAAACCUAAAUGAGAUUUUAAUCUCACAUCCAACAGAAUGGCUAAAAUGGAAAACCCAGAAAAUGCCAAAUGUUGGUCAAGAGUUGGAGUAACUGAAACUACACGGCUGCUGGAAAUGUAUAUUGGUAUAACCACUUUGGAAAAUGGGAAGUUCAACAAACAAGCAAUUUAGGGAUAUAUGUUUAGGUAGUAAAAGUAUAAAGAAAAGAAAUAGUUUUGCAGGGAGUAGUGCUUGGGAGGUAAUAGGUGCUUCUGGAGUGCUGUUGAUGUUCUGUUCCUAAGUAGGGUGCUGUGGCUUGAGUUUGGUUUGCCUGACCCUACCAAGUCUCAUGUUAAAAUUUGAUCCCCAGUGUUGGAGGUGAGGCCUGGUGGGAAGGGUUGUGGGAGUGGAUUUCUCAUGAGUGGCUUUGUAUUCUGUAAGGAGUGAGUUCAUUAAGAGACUGGCACCUCCUCUCUCCUUUCUCUCGCUAUGUGAUCUCUGCAUAUGUCAUCUCCUGUCUGCCUUCCACCAUGAGCAGCCUGAAGCCUUCACUGGAAGCAGAUACUGCUACCAUGCUUCUUGUACAGCCUGCAAAACCGUGAGCCAAAUAAGCCUAACAUUCUAAGACACUGGGAUUACAUGAGUGUUUACUCUAUGAUUUAUUGAGAAGUAGGUGUUUUGGAGAAAAAUGUACUUUCAGUAUGUAUAUUAUAUAUUUCAUGGUUAUUUUUAAAACUCGUGAGCAAUGCUGGAUACACACUACCAACUAUUACUUCCCUGACUGAGCCAAUUUUUCUGUAAAUGCAUCACAAAUGUGAAAGAUAAGAUAAGCCUGAAUUCUGGGGAAUGACAAUGGUGAAGGAAAGGCAAGACAGAUGCAAAAGACACUGCAGAACUCAGGCUUAAAAUCUCAUCCUUAACUCCUUCCCUCAUCCCACCAUGUUGAAUCAGAUGUCAAUAGCAAUUUUAUAUGGCAUUUUUUAAGCUUGCAAAAAGUUAUAAACACAGAAAAUGUUCAUUUUAUCACCCUAUCACAGACGAAAAACAUGAAAUUAAGCUAGGAAACAUGUUCAGGUGAUUAGAGUAGGUAGAACAUAGACUAAAAACCAGUGAACUUAUUUAAAAAAAUGCCAUGAUGUGGACAAAAAAAAAGAACUUGUGGCUCCUCACUCCAACUCCUGUGACUCUCUCACCUUACCCCCACUGCCUUCAAGUUUUUUGUAGAAAGAGAAAUUUUAUAUGGAUUGAGUUGAAGAUGAUGCCAGAAUAUCAAGGUAGAAUUAUUAAACAGACACAAAAGCUAAGGUUUGGUACUCUGAAAAAACGUCAGAAUUAGUGAUAGAAAAUUAGAAGUUACCCAUCCAUAGAAGGGUAAUAAAGCCAUGAGAGUGAAGGAAACCAGUGAGAGACAAUGUUGAGAAAAGUACUGAAGGACAGAGAAGGAGAAGUGAAGGAGGAAAGCAAAUCAGCAUUUAUUGAGCAUCUGUUAAACUGUAUGCCAGCUGUUCUACAUUUACUAUCUGAUUUAUUCCUUUCCAUUUCCAAGGUAGCCAAUUUUAGCCUCAUUUGAUAGACUGACUUUGUAGACUCAAAAAGCAGUAAAAAGAACCAGCAUUCAAAACCAGCUUGACUCCAGUUUAUUCGGUGUACUACACCAUUCCUGGAGAUGGUAAGUGUGUGUUACAGAAGACCAUGGAGAGAAUUUAGGUCAAGGAAAGAUAAGCCCUGGGAAAAGACCAUUGGAUUUUUGUGUUUUUUGACUAAGGGGUUCCCAUAACAUAGCAGCACCCUGCACUCCUGUCUUAACGCUUCUGUGAAUGUGGGUAAUGCAGACAAAUGUAAAUGCCUGUCAAUAAGGGGGAAAAAAGUCAAGAUAGUAAAUGUAAAAAUUAGUAUAAUGAAAACAAACCAGGUAUUAAAUUCUAGCUAGAUACUCUUGCCAACCAAGCGCUUCAAAUCUCAAGGCCUGAAUGAAGAAUAGCUUUUUUUUUCUCUGAGACACGGUCUUACUCUGUUGCCCAGGCUGGCGUGCAGUGGCAAGAUCUCGGCUCACUGCAGCCUCGAUUUCCCAUGCUCAGGUGAUUCUCCCACCUCAGCCUCCUUAGCAGCUGGAACUACAAGCGCAGCCACCAUGCCUGGCUAAUUCUGUGUAUUUCUGGUAGAGAUGGGGUUUUGCCAUGUUGCCCAGGCUAGUCUUGAACUCCUGAGCUCAAGCGAGACACCCACCUUGACCUCCCAAAGUGUUGGGAUUACAGACAUUAACCACCACGCCUGGCCUGUAAACAGGAAUAACUUUCUUGCCGUGUGAUUCAAUGUUAUUUACUGCUUUGUUCGUGUACUGCCUAGAACCAUGUUGAUUAUCACCAGUGGUAUGGAUCCUGCACAUUGGGAAACACUGCAGUGUUAUUUAAUUUUGUUCGCUGUGUUUACAGUGCAGUUUUAGUCACCUGAAAUUCUAAGAGAAAAGAUCAAGAUGGUUUUGCCAAUCAAAGGUCAUUAAUACUUGGAAUGAAAGAUAACUUCUACUGGUGAUGAACACAUGCCUUUUGAAAAGCAUCAGUAUCUCCUUAAAAUGUAUAAACUACUGUAAUCAAUGAGGAAGACUUUUUCCUACCAGAUUUAUUAAACUCAUUUACCAUACAAAUAGCAUUAUAACAUUAAAGAAAAAGUUUUAAAAAUUCUGUACCAUAAAACAAUUACUGGUUCCUUCCUACCUGUUUUUAGGUUUGCAGAUGAAUAAUGUGUGGAUUUUUGGCAGACACACUGCUGAAAAUUUUUCACUUGGUUGGGUGAGCAUCUCACCCUAUCUCCAUUUGUCUCCCUGCUCUGUCUGAGUUCUAGAGAAGACCACCAAUAAGCAAGUGAAAUUCCUGGGCCAAGUCACUGAUACCAGAAUUCCCCAGAGGCACCAAGAGUUUUGAUUUCCAGAAAUUGGUUAGGCACAGCCGCUCAUUCAACCUUAUAUUUUGUAUCUCAGAGUUAAGGUUGCAUUUGGGCUACCUAGCCUGUAGACUCUAUUUUAAGACAAGCAGGCAUUUAAUAGUUGUUGGUUGGUUGAUUAGAGCUUCUAGCCAAUUUUUUAAAAUUAUUUGAAUAGAUAAGCCAUUCACUGGUUCAAAAAAAAUUUUUUAAUCAUCACUUCCACCCAUCCAGUUACCACUACUGAAGUAACCUCUACUUUUUGUUUCUUGCAUAUUCUUUUUUUUUUUUUUUUUUUGAGACAUAGUCUCGAUCUAUUGCCCAGGCUGGAGUGCAGUGGUGUGAUAUUGGGUCACUGCAACCUCCGCCUCCCGAGUUCAAGCAAUUCUCCUGCCUCAGCCUCCCAAGUAGCUGGGACUACAGGCGCACGCUACCACAUCCGGCUAAUUUUUAUAUUUUUAGUAGAGAUGGGGUUUCACCAUGUUGGUCAGGCUGGUUUCGAACUCCUGACCUCAGGUGGUCCGCUUGCCUCGGCCUCCCAAAGUGGAGUUACAGGUAUGAAUCAAAGUGCCCAGCCUCUUGUAUAUUUUUCCACAUACACAUUUUUUCAUGCAUAUAUAUGUAAGAAUAAAUGUUCUUAUUCCCCCUCCCCCAUUUUUAUAUAAGAGAAAAUACCGUACAAACCCUUCUGCACAUUGGACUUGAGAUGGCUUUUCCAUCUCAGUGCAAAAAGGCGACAUUUUUUCUUAACCACUGCACAUUAUUUAGUUAUGACCCAGUUUGGGGACAUUGAGUUUCUUUUGUACUCUAGUGCUUGAAUGAUUAUCCUUGGAUGUACAUCUUUCCUUGUAUAUUUAAAUAUGUCUCAUCUCAGUUUACACAGGUGGAAUUGCUCUGCAAAAAGGCAUAUACGUAUUUUUAAUUUGCCCUCUAUGUACCAAAUGUUUUCACCCCAGCAUUGCUGAUGGAUUAGAGUGCUGCCAAGUUUUUGGAUUUUUACCUACCAGCUUUUGAAGGGCAGAUUAUUUCAAGUCUUAAUAUUUUCAGGAACAGUAACGAUAUCAUUUGGUUAAACUGAGAGAAAUGGGGUUCAUUUGACAGAAUUUGUUCAGGAUAUAGAAUUUUUUUGCUGCUGUUCCUGCAGCUACACACCUACAACUAGUAAAAACAUAGUUGCUUAGGUUGUCGAAUGACCAGCAAACCUGGAGAAGAACCAGGAAUGACUACAAACAGCUCCACCCACCCUUUUUUUGGGCAAAUGUGCAAGCUUAGCAGAAUCUAAAACGAUCCUUCAGCCUUUGUUUGAGUUGCAGAAAAUUAACAUGGUAAGGAGGAAGAAAUCACUAAUUUUGUUAAAAAGUUCCCUGAUACAGGAACUGAAAAUGAUUUUUGACCAACCUGGGCAAUAGAGCAAAAUUCCAUCUCUACAAAAAAAUACAAAAAUUAGUUGGGCAUGGUGGUGCUGCCUGUAGUGACGGCUGCUCAUCCUGAGGUGGGAGGAUUGCUGGAGGCCAGGAGGUUGAGGCUGCAGUGAGCCAGGAUCACACCACUGCACCAGCCUGGGCUACAGAGUAAGACUCAAGAAAAAAAAAAGAUUUUUGAUUAAUCUUGCUUCAGUGCUGAGGUGGUACAGGGAGGGAGAAAGGGAUAUUGGGCUGUGAAUUCCACCUAAACUGGGGAUUUUUAUCAGGGUGUCAAGAAAGAUUUUCAGGAAUAAUUAUCUGAGUUACUUGGAGUAAAAGUAACAGGAGGAGGAAAAGAGAUGUGGCAUGUGGGUCUCUGACUUGACAAACUUUUUAUUCAUUUUACAAAUCAUGAUUUCUAGAGCAUCUUAAUCUUUGAGGCCCAAGUGCUUGGAAGUUGCAUAAUCUCUGUACUUCACUUCCCCCCUAUAAAAUGGGGAAUAUGAUAGAAUCUACCUUGUAUUUGAGAGGAUUAAAUAAAUAUAAAGUGCUUAGAAAAGUAAGGACUCAAAUACUAGUAAUUAUUAUUUUGACAUGUUUAAGUAAUCAGUACUAUCUGGAAAACUGUGCUAAUAGUGCCUGAUCUACACAAAUUUAAGUGACUAUACCUCUUUUUUGAGUCAGAGUCUCGCUCUGUUACCCAGGCUGGAGUAUAGUGGUAUGAUCUCUGCUCAGUGCAGCCUCCGCCUCCUGGGUUCAAGAGAUUCUCCAGGCUCAGCCUCCCAAGUAGCUGGGAUUACAGGCGCCCACCACCACACCUGGCUAAUUUUUGUAUUUUUAGUAGAGACGGGGUUUUACCAUGUUGGCCAGGCUGGCCUCAAACUCCAGACUUCAAGUGAUCACCUGCCUCAGCCUUCUAAAGUGCUAGGAUUAUAGGCGUGAGCCACCGCACCCACCGCUCUGUAUAUCUCUUUUGAAAGUCAUAAGCAGUAUCUUUGGAAAAAACACUUAAGGUUAUUUAUUUAGAGGUAGUGUCUCUCACUGUGUACCCCAGCUGGAGUACAGUGGCACAGUCACAGCUCGCUGCAGCAUCAAAUUCCUAGGCUCAAGCCAUCCUUCCACCGGACAUGUUGGCGUGCACCUCCUGAGUAGCUGAGAGUACAGUUGUGCUCUACCACACCGGGCUAAUUUUUGUAUUUUUUAGUAGAGAUGGGGUUUUGCCAUGUUAGACAGGCUGGUCUGGAACACCUGACCUCUGGUGAUCUGCCCACCUCAGCCUCCCAAAGGGCUGGGAUUAAAGGCAUGAGCCACCGCACUCAGCCACUCAAGGCUUUUAAAAAAAUCAAUAAUUUCUAAAUGGUUUUGGAUUUUUGACUCCUUAUGAGUGUUAAGAUAUUUUGGUAUCACUUUUUUCCUUCCAAAAAAAAACCAACUAGGUGAUAUCUAUUCCUCAGUUAAAGUUAAUUAAAACUAUUUUGGAUCCCAGCACUUUGGGAAGCCAAAGGCAGGCAGAUUACCUGAGGUCAGGAGUUCAAGACCAGCCUGGCCAACAUGGUGAAACCUGUCUCUACUAAAAAUACAAAAAAUAAGCCAAGCAUGGUGGCGGGCGCCUGUAAUCCCAGCUACUCAGGAGGCUGAGGCAGGAGAAUUGCUUGAACCCGGGAGGCAGAGUUUGCAGUGAGCCAAGAUAGUGCCAUCACACUCCAGCCUGGACAACAGAGCGAGACUCCAUCUAAAAAAAAAAAAAAAAAAAAAUUUUCAGUUUUUGGUUUUGAAAAUGUCAUGAUACCUGUUGAGAUAACUGCUGAAUAUAUGGGUAAUACACAGUCUAGGGCAUGGUAUCAAAAGAACUUGUCACUGUAUAUAUCGGAAAUGGUAAAAAUAUGUUUUGCCGUUUUCAUGAAUUCAUUCAUUUUUCAUGUUUUUUUUAAAAAAAAGAUCCUGCUAAUUCUCUGUUUCUCUUGCUUUUCUCCUUUAUGACUAAGUUAUCCUCUUUAUGGAUUACCUCACAUUACUGCUUACGAAGACAUCUCUUUAGUCAGAAAGCAGUAACUUGGUUCAGCUCUAGCUUCAUUGUUAAGCUCAUAGGUAAAUCUGGCAAAUGGCUAGAAACAUUCACAUGUUUGCUUGUCCUUAAUGCUCUCACCUUUUCCCAGCUAUUUGGAUGUAUAUACCUUUGCUCACUUUGUAGUGUACCAACUUAAUAUAUGUUAUAGACUAAAUGUUUAUGUCCUCCCAAACUUCAUAUUUUGGAAGCCAGACAUGGUAACUCACACCUGUAAACCUAACACUUUGGGAGGCCUAAGUGGGAGGAUUUCUUGAGUCCGGGAGUUCAGGACCAGCCUGGACAACAUAGUGAGACCCCAUCUCUACAAAAAAAAAAUUUUUUUAAUUAGCCAGGCGUGGUGGCACACACCUGUAGUCCCAGCUACUCAGGAGGCUUGCAUGAGCCCAGAAGUUUGAGACUGCAAUGAGCCAUGAUUAUGCCAGCUUGGGUGACAGAGCAAGACCUUGUCUCAAGAAAAAAAAAAAAUUGCCAAUUGCGGUGGCUCAUGCCUGUAAUCCCAGCACUAGGAGGCCGAGGUGGGUGAAUCACCUGAGGUCAGGAGUUUUGAGACCAGCCUGGCCAACGUGGCAAAACCUCGUCUCUACUAAAAAUGCAAAAAUUACUAGGACAUGUUGGUGAGCAGCUGUAAUCCCUGCUACUCAGGAGGCUGAGGCAAGAGAAUCUCUUGAACCCAGGGGGUGGAGGUUGCACUGAGCCGAGAUCAUGCCAUUGUACUUCACCUCUGGACAGAGGGAAACUCUGUCUCCAAAAAAAAAAUAUGGAGGGCUGGGCACGGUGGCUAACACCUGUAAUCCCAGCACUUUGGGAGGCCAAGGCGGGUGGAUCACAAAGUCAGGAGUUCAAGACCAGCCUGGCCAACAUAGUGAAACCCUGUCUCUACUGAAAAUACAAAAAUUAGCCAGGCAUGGUGGCACACGCCUGUAGUCCCAGCUACUGGGGAGGCUGAGGCAGGAGAAUCGCUUUGAACCUGGGAGGCGGAGGUUAUGGUGAGCUGAGAUCGCAUCAGUACACUCCAGCCUGGGCAACAAUGCGAGAUUCCAUCUCAAAAAAAUAAAUAUUUGGAGUCCCAUAAUAAAUAAAUAAAUAAAUAUUUGGAGUCCAAUGUGAUAGUAUCUGGAGAUGGGGCCUUUGGAGGUAAUAUGGGUUAGAUAGGUCAUGACAGUAGGGCCCUCAUUAUGGGAUUAGUGGCGUUAGAAGAAGAAGAGAGAAAUCUUCCUCCUCAAGAGCAGAGGAAAAGCCAUAUAAGAAUACAGUGAGACGGCCACUUGCAAACCAGAAAGGGAGCCCCCACCAGGAACCAAAUUGGCUGGCACCUUGAUCUUGGACUUCCCAUGCUCCAGAACUAUGAGAAAUAAAUUCCUAUUAUUUAAGCCCAUGGUAGUUUUAUGGCAUCCUGAGCUAAGACAACGUGUCUCUAGUUUCCCACAGAUUCAUAAAGGUCCGUACAAAAAAUGUUAUAACUGUUAAUAGUGUCCUGUCCUUGAAUUUAACAGCAACCAACAUAUUGUUUGUGUAGUUCUUGCGCCAUUUGGAAACAGUGACCUUUAGGUGUUGCAGGUAACUAUUGGGAAAUCCUUCAAUUUGUUUAACAUUUCCAUAUUUUGAUUUGCAUCUUGGGAGUUGCUUGGAAUUUGGGAUCCUCUUCUGUCUCUUGAAUUGAAAUCAGAGGCUGCUUGCCGGGCAAGGUGGCUCACGCCUGUAAUCCCAGCACUUUGGGAGGCCCAGGCAGACAGAUCACCAGAUGUCGGGAGUUAGAAACCAGCCUGGCCAACAUAGUGAAACCCCGUCUCUACUAAAAAUACAAAAAUUAGCCGGGCGUGCUGGUGCACGCCUGUAAUCCUAGCUACUUGGGUGCUGAGUCAGGAGAAUUGCUUGAACCUGGGAGGUGGAGGUUGCAGUGAGCCAAGAUCGUGUCACUGCACUCCAGCCAGGGCAACAGAGCAAGACUCUGCCUCAAAAAAAGAAAUCAGAGGCUGGGCAUAGUGGCUCAUGCCUAUAAUCCCAGCACUUUGGGAGGCCAAGGCAGGUGGAUCCCUUGAGGCCAGGAGUUCAAGACCAGCCUGGGCAACAUGGCGAAAGCCUAUCUCUACUAAAGAUACAAAAGAUUAGCUGGACGUGAUGGUGUGUGCCUGUAAUCCCAGCUACUCAAGAGGCUGAGGCACAAGAGAAUUGCUUGAACACGGGAGGUGGAGGUUGCAGUGAGCCAAGAUCACACCACUGCAUUCCAACCUGGGGCAACAGAGUGAGACUCUGUCUCAAAAAAAGAAAAAAAAAAAAAUCAGAGAUAAUAUAAAUGCAGGUGUAAACUCGUACACUUAAUGGGCUAUAAAUUUUGGAACUGGCUGUGAUAAUAUAACAAAAGUAAUAAUGGGCUGUGAGUGGUAUUAAAUGUGGGAUUAACUGGAUAUUUAAUGAUACCAAAGAAUCAUUAAUUUUGUUUGGCUAUGAUGUUUUAUUAUUAGAAUGAUGUUAUGAUUAAAUUUUAUUUUUGUCUGGAUACAGUCGCUCACACCUGUAAUCCCAGCACUUUGGGAGGCCGAGGCAGAUGGAUCACUUGAGGCCAGGAGUUCCAGACCAGCCUGGCCAACACAGCGAAACCCCAUCUCUACUAAAAAUACAAAAAAUUAGCCAGGCCUGGUGGUGCACGCUUGUAAUCCCAGGUACUUGGGAGGCUAAGGCAGGAGGAUCACUUGAACCCAGGGGAGGCUGCAGUGAGCUGAGAUCGCACCACUGCACUCCAGCUUGGGCAACAGAGCAAGACUCCAUCUUAAAAAGAAGAAAGAAAGAAAUUCUAUUUUUUAAAUGUUUUUUCCUUUUAUUGAACUCCAUUUAUAGCCUUUCCAUUCAGAGCAUAAAGAUUAAAUUUUAAAACAACGCUUGGCACCCUGGCUUCUGCCUGUAAUCCCAGCACUUUGUGAGGCCAAGGUGGGCGGAUCACCUGAGCUCAGAAGUUUGAGUCCAGCCUGGCUAACAUGGUGAAACCCCAUCUCUAAAAGAGUACACAAGCCUGGAGCAGUGGUGUGCGCCUGUAGUCCUAGCUACUUGGGAGGCUGAACCAGGAGAACUGCUUGAGCCUGGGAGGCAGAGGUUGCAGUGAGCCAAGAUCGCACCAUUACACUCCAGCCUGGGUGACAGAGAGAGACCCUGUGCCCCUCAAAAAAAAUGUUUUUUUAAACAAGAAUCUCUUAGGCACACUGAAAUAUUGAAGAGGAAAUUAUAUUAAUAUCUGGGACUUGUUUCCAAAUAAUCUGGAAUUGGGGCAGGGUGUAAAUUGUUGACAAUAUCAAAGAAACGAGGAGUUGGAAUGAUAAUUGUAGAAGCUGCAUGAUAGAUACAUGUUCUUUAUACUUCUGUAUAUGUUGACAUUUUUUAUUAAAUUAUAAUUGUAUAAUGACUAUAAUUAUGCUUUCAUUGUCUAUUCUGUGUGGUUAUGUUACUUGCUGAAAUUAAUACAUAAAGAGUCUUCAACUUAAAUGACUUAUCAAGCAUAAAUAUUAAAAUACUGGAUGUUACUACACAUUUGACUCCACUUACGCAUUUAUUCAUCAACUAUUAAAUGCUUUCUUGUAGAUUUCUCAUUUAAUCUCUGCAAGGUAGGUGUUACCCCUGAUUUUACAAAUGAGGAAAUGUAGAUUCAAGAUAAGUAAUAUGCAGGUCGAGAAUAGCAAAAUCGGUCAGGUGCGGUGCCUCAUGCCUGUAAUCCCAGCACUUUGAGAGGCUGAGGUGGGUGGAUCACCUGAAGUCAGGAGUUCAAGCCCAGCCUAGCCAACAUAGUGAAACCCCAUCUCUACUAAAAAUACAAAAAUUAGCCAGGCAUGAUGGCAGGUGCCUGUAAUACCAACUACUCAGGAGGUUGAGGGAGGAGAAUCGUUUGAACCCGGGAGGUGGAGGUUGCAGUGGGCCGAGAUUGUGUCACUGCACUCCAGCCUGGGUGACAGAGUGAGACUCCAUCUGAAAAAAAUGAAAACAGCAAAAUUAUAACUUCUCCCCCAUUUGGUCUUCCACCUGGAAACUCAUGUUUUGUUUCUACUGUACCAUGCUGCUUCUCAGACAUGCCUGACUGUUUUUUCCCGUGCUGUUUUCUUCUAGGAGUGAAAGCCUGGCACAACGUGUACAAUAAAAUUCAGGGAAUAUUUUUGGGGUCUUUGUCCUCUUCUUUCCUGUUAAAGCAGCUAGAGUCAGUAGGCAGGACCUAAGGUGUACUACACCAUAAGGAAGCCAUGGAACAGUGAACUGGCAAAAUUCUAGACCCAACUCAUGAAAUUUUGGUUCUUCAAGAAUUUGUUUGACUGCUAUUUACUGUAUUUGUGCUGAUUACUGUUCAGUAUACUGGGUCUUGUCUCACUUUCAGAACAUAAACGAAGAACUCAAUCGC